CCCACAAUCGUCCCUCGCGCUGGGUGUGAUCCUUUUUAAUCAUAGUGGGAAGGUAUAUGGAGGUAAAGUAACCUUGUAACGGGAGAAAAAACGAGAUGAAGAAACCAAAGCUACUCUACAUGAUGUCCUUUCACUGUCCCAUGCCAUCCAUGCCUAAAAGCUUUAUGCCGGAGAGGUGUCCAUGAACUGCAAAAGCCCUGCAGCUGCCUCUUUGUUGUUUCACCAUUAGCUCUACGCCACACUUCCAAUCAACAAUGAGGCAGACAUGGAACCUUGCCGCUUCCCUGGCCCCACGUUGUUGGUGAGAUGCAAGAGGAACUAGAAGGUCCAUGGUGCACUGUCCUACAUCUCUGGCUCCACCAUCAGUGGUCAGGUCUCUUCUUGGUGGCAAGCUCUCCGACGGCAUGUAGAUGGUUGGUCUCUGAGCAUGUGUGGACCGGCCUGCUCCAUCUGCACAGGAGGUUCGUCUACCUGGAUUGGCAUUGUGGCCAGAGGGAGCUCUUCCUUGUCAGUAACCACCCCACUGCACUCCUGUCUCAAGAGAGGAUGGAUCUACGAUGAAAGAAGAAAACAUGAAGUCCCAUGUAUUCUUGGAAAGAACGCAACCCCAUCAAUGAAAAGCUGGAACAUGAAACAAUUUUGGAUCAUUGCAAUAUGAUAUCUAGUAUGGAAUAGUUUCUCCGGUCUAAAUUUGUUAUGGAUGAAAGCCUCUAAUUGUUUUAUAUGAUUAUUCCAAGUUCAGAUUCAAUAUGUCAGAAUUUGAUAUCAACAUUGUCAUGUAAUUAAUUAAGCGAUGCAAGGGAAAUAUCUGCAAUUUUCUUUUUUCUUCUUUUUUUUUCUAUUUUGUUCUUUGGAG
rnacentral:lncRNA from 1 species